rnacentral:lncRNA from 1 species
UGACAAUGUCCAGGAAUUUAUUGAAGAUCACUGUAAGAUAAUGGGCAUUCCAUUCUGAGUAUCUCUUCAAAAACAUGUUGGGUAUGGCAUCAGGUCCCGCACUUUUAGUCGUGUCAGU